rnacentral:lncRNA from 1 species
AAAUGAUCCCUGAUUUUCUCAAGAUUAUAUUAAAACCAUCAUUAGUAAAAGUGUAACUCGCUCCUGGAAACUCAAGAUAACAACAGAGUAGCUUCAACCCCUUUAUAUAAAUAUCUAUACUCUCUUUUAACGUGAAGGUCAUUUAGGUAUAAUAUAAUAGGUUUAUGUCAUGGUCCUUCAUUAAGGUUAGUUGUAAGAUUGUAUUGAUUGUGCUUUUACCUUGUCCAAAAGCAUUACCCUGAAGACAGACAACUUGCUAUAAGAUUGAUAUAUUUUAAAAUUUUAUACUAUGGAUCCUCUUGACUUUUUGUUGAAAAUAGUGUCAUUCAUUAUGGGAGGAGAAUUUGGAACUUGACUGGGUAAGGAAGAAAAAAAUCAAUUAACUCAAAGAAUCGUGUUUACCAAGACAAAAUAUAAGGUAUGUGAAUAUGAAUAUGAAUAUGAUUAUAUUAUUUCAUUUGUGUUGAUUGCUUAUCUGUACCUAUAGACGUUGGGUUUUAAGCCAUUUUCUGUAUACAAACCAGCUGUUUGAAUUGAUAUUGUUCUAAUUAACCAAAACCUACAUUAAUUGAUUUAUAAACACCUUUCAUUGCAAUGACCAGUGGAUCUUGAUGCUAAAAGGGACCUUAAGCUAC